rnacentral:rRNA from 1 species
UACGGAGGGGACUAGCGUUGUUCGGAAUUACUGGGCGUAAAGCGCACGUAGGCGGAUUGUUUAGUCAGGGGUGAAAUCCCGAGGCUCAACCUCGGAACUGCCUUUGAUACUGGCAAUCUCGAGUCCGGAAGAGGUGAGUGGAAUUCCUAGUGUAGAGGUGAAAUUCGUAGAUAUUCGCAAGAACACCAGUGGCGAAGGCGGCUCACUGGUCCGGUACUGACGCUGAGGUGCGAAAGCGUGGGGAGCAAACAGG